rnacentral:hammerhead_ribozyme from 1 species
GAGCGAAACCGUUCCAGGCGACUGGACGGUCUAUCCGGUGUGGCAGCCGGGUACUGAUGAGCUGCCGAGG